rnacentral:rRNA from 1 species
AUACGUAGGUGGCAAGCGUUGUCCGGAAUUAUUGGGCGUAAAGCGCAUGUAGGCGGUUUGGUAAGUCGGUCGUGAAAAUGCGGUGCUUAACGCCGUAUGGCGAUUGAAACUGCUGAACUUGAGUGCAGGAGAGGAAAGGGGAACUCCCAGUGUAGCGGUGAAAUGCGUAGAUAUCGGGAAGAACACCGGUGGCGAAGGCGCCUUUCUGGACUGUGUCUGACGCUCAGAUGCGAAAGCCAGGGUAGCGAACGGGAUUAGAUACCCCGGUAGUCCUGGCCGUAAACGAUGGGUACUAGGUGUGGGAGGUAUCGACUCCUUCCGUGCCGGAGUUAACGCAAUAAGUACCCCGCCUGGGGAGUACGGCCGCAAGGCUUAAACUCAAAUGAAUUGACGGGG